rnacentral:rRNA from 1 species
AUUGAACGCUGGCGGCAGGCCUAACACAUGCAAGUCGAGCGAGCGGCGGACGGGUGAGUAAUGUCUGGGGGACUGCCUGAUGGAGGGGGGUAACUACUGGAAAAGGUAGCUAAUACCGCAUACCAUCAGAUGUGCCCAGAUGGGAUUAGCGAGUAGGUGGGGUAAAGGCUCACAUAGGCGACGAUCCCUAGCUGGUCUGGGAGGAUGACCAGCAACACUGGAACUGAGACACGGGCCAGACUCCUACGGGAGGCAGCAGUGGGGAAUAUUGCACAAUGGGCGCAAGCCUGAUGCAGCCAUGCCGCGUGUGUGAAGAAGGCCUUCGGGUUGUAAAGCACUUUCAGCGGGGAGGCGUUACCCGCAGAAGAAGCACCGGCUAACUCCGUGCCAGCAGCCGCGGUAAUUC